rnacentral:rRNA from 1 species
GUUAUAUGAUCAAGCGACCAAGCGCGCAUGGUGGAUGCCUAGGUGGUAAGAGGCGAUGAAGGACGUUGUAGCUUGCGAUAAGCCUCGGGGAGCCAGCAAACAGGCUUUGAUCCGGGGAUUUCCGAAUGGGGAAACCCGACCUUUCGGGGUCAUCUCACACUGAAUACAUAGGUGUGUGAAGCGAACCUGGUGAACUGAAACAUCUAAGUAACCAGAGGAAAAGAAAUCAACCGAGAUUCCCUUAGUAGCGGCGAGCGAACGGGGAACAGCCCUUAAGUCGUAGUGUGGUUAGUGGAACGGUCUGGAAAGUCCGGUCAUAGAGGGUGAUAACCCCGUACACGAAAGCCUAUCUACGAUGAAAUCGAGUAGGGCGGGACACGUGAAAUCCUGUCUGAACAUGGGGGGACCAUCCUCCAAGGCUAAAUACUC